rnacentral:rRNA from 1 species
GAGUUUGAUCUUGGCUCAGGAUGAACGCUGGCGGCGUGCCUAACACAUGCAAGUCGAACGGAGUUCUUAAGGAAUGCGGCUUCGGCCAAAUGACUUUUGAACUUAGUGGCGGACGGGUGAGUAACGCGUGAGCAACCUGCCUUUCAGAGGGGGAUAACAUUUGGAAACAGAUGCUAAUACCGCAUAAGAUUACAGUACCGCAUGAUACAGUGAUCAAAGGAGCAAUCCGCUGAAAAGAUGGGCUCGCGUCCGAUUAGAUAGUUGGUGAGGUAACGGCUCGCCAAGUCGACGAUCGGUAGCCGGACUGAGAGGUUGAACGGCCACAUUGGGACUGAGACACGGCCCAGACUCCUACGGGAGGCAGCAGUGGGGAAUAUUGCACAAUGGGCGAAAGCCUGAUGCAGCAACGCCGCGUGAGGGAAGACGGUUUUCGGAUUGUAAACCUCUGUUUUCGGUGACGAACAAAUGACGGUAACCGAGUAGGAAGCCACGGCUAACUACGUGCCAGCCGCGCCGUAA